GAUGAACGCUGGCGGCGUGCCUAACACAUGCAAGUCGAACGAAGCAUAUCUGGCGGAGAUUCGUCGAAGCCGGGUAUGACUUAGUGGCGGACGGGUGAGUAAUGUAUGAGCAACCUGCCUUUCAGAGGGGGACAACAGUUGGAAACGACUGCUAAUACCGCAUAAUGUAUUUGGGUGGCAUCACCUGGAUACCAAAGGAGCAAUCCGCUGAAAGAUGGGCUCAUAUCUGAUUAGCUUGUUGGCGGGGUAACAGCCCACCAAGGCGACGAUGGGUAGCCGAUUUGAGAGGAUGAUCGGCCACAUUGGAACUGAAACACGGUCCAAACUCC
rnacentral:rRNA from 1 species